UAAACGUCCCAGUUCGGACUGUAGUCUGCAACCCGACUACACGAAGCCGGAAUCGCUAGUAAUCGCGAAUCAGAAUGUCGCGGUGAAUACGUUCCCGGGUCUUGUACACACCGCCCGUCACACCAUGGGAGUCGGAAAUGCCCGAAGUCAGUGACCCAACCGCAAGGAGGGAGCUGCCGAAGGCAGGUCCGGUAACUGGGGUGAAGUCGUAACAAGGUAAC
rnacentral:rRNA from 1 species